rnacentral:rRNA from 1 species
GACGUAGGGCGCGAGCGUUGUCCGGAUUUAUUGGGCGUAAAGAGCUCGUAGGCGGCUUGUCGCGUCGACCGUGAAAAACUUGGGGCUCAACCCCAAGCCUGCGGUCGAUACGGGCAGGCUAGAGUUCGGUAGGGGAGACUGGAAUUCCUGGUGUAGCGGUGAAAUGCGCAGAUAUCAGGAGGAACACCGAUGGCGAAGGCAGGUCUCUGGGCCGAUACUGACGCUGAGGAGCGAAAGCGUGGGGAGCGAACAGG